UACGAAGGUGGCAAGCGUUGUUCGGAUUUACUGGGCGUACAGGGCGCGUAGGCGGUUGGAUAAGCCCUCCGUGAAAUCUCCAGGCUUAACCUGGAAAGUGCAGAGGGGACUGUUCAGCUAGAGGAUGGGAGAGGAGCGCGGAAUUCCCGGUGUAGAGGUGAAAUUCGUAGAUAUCGGGAGGAACACCAGUGGCGAAGGCGGCGAUCUGGGAAGAUACUGACGCUGAGGUGCGAAAGCGUGGGGAGCAAACAGG
rnacentral:rRNA from 1 species